AUUGAACGCUGGCGGCAUGCCUUACACAUGCAAGUCGAACGGUAACGGGCCUUCGGGUGCCUCCGAGUGGCGAACGGGUGAGUAAUACAUCGGAACGUGCCCGAUCGUGGGGGAUAACGAGGCGAAAGCUUUGCUAAUACCGCAUACGACCUACGGAUGAAAGCAGGGGCCCGCAAUGCCUUGCGCGGACGGGGCGGUCGAUGGCAGAUUAGGUAGCUGGUGGGGUAAAAGCUUACCAAGCCGACGAUCUGUAGCUGGGCUGGGAGGAUGAUCAGCCACACUGGGACUGAGACACGGCCCAGACUCCUACGGGAGGCAGCAGUGGGGAAUUUUGGACAAUGGGCGCAAGCCUGAUCCAGCCAUGCCGCGUGCAGGAUGAAGGCCUUCGGGUUGUAAACUGCUUUUGUACGGAACGACAAGCCUUCUUUUAAUACAGGAGGGUCAUGACGGUACCGUAAGAAUAAGCACCGGCUAACUACGUG
rnacentral:rRNA from 1 species